AAGUCGUAACAAGGUUUCCGUAGGUGAACCUGCGGAAGGAUCAUUAUGAGAUUUUGAGAUUAUGUUAGAUUGUGAAGUGGUGUGAGUUUGCUGGGGGAUGGGUUGUGGGUGGUAAUUGAAUGGAUUACUGGGGGUAAUUGAAUUGAUUAUUACUAUACACACACCUAUUACCCCCGGGGACACACACACAAAAUAACAAGAACGAUAUUAUGGGAUUGAUAAAAAAAAAAGUGGAUUUUAUUACUACCACACACAAUAAUAACAAAUAACAACUUUUAACAAUGGAUCUCUAGGCUCUU
rnacentral:misc_RNA from 1 species